CUCCCAGACAUAAGCUCUCGGAAGAUUGAAAGCAAUUCCUGGAUGCAGCAAAACGCACUGGUCUCGGCACUGCGAUGAUGGCAAAUGCCUGGCUCACCCAGAAGAAGUUUUCAGACCCUGGGAAGACUGUGCUCUACCCAAAUCAGAGAGUGACUCAAGAAGAGGCAAAGCUGGGAUCCAGGAAGAGGAACUCUGCCCCAGGACACAAGUAGUCAGUAUUCUGCAGCCUAGGAGGAGGACCUCAUGAGAACCUUGAUCUGACUUCCAGCCUCCAGCACUGAGUUUUCCUGGAAGCAGAUGAUACCAUCCUGUACACGUGUGGCUGGGAGGCUUUAUUCACACUGAAGGGCCGAUCUGGCAGGCAGCCUUGACUCACUGGGCUACGCACAUG